UUCCUGGAGUUGGAGGUUUCUGUAGGCACUUUAUUUCUCCACUUUCAAGAGCUUGGGCUUGGCCCAAAUCUUAGACUGCCCAAUUCUGUCUCUAUUACCAAUUUAAAUCUAUGGCUUGAACCUGUGCACUGAAAAUCAAAUCUAU
ensembl:misc_RNA